UAUCUACACCGACUCUCUCCUUUUUUCUGACUCUAUGUAUUGGUCUAGCUACACCGACGGAGGCUAUCUGGAAGCGUCUAUCUACACCGACAGAGGCUUUUGUCUACAUCAGCAGGUUUAGUCAUCCAUCAAAUCCAAUUCCAAAGCCACCAUCUUUGCUGCAUAACCAAGCUCAAAAGCAGAACCAUUCAUCCAGAGAGAUCAAUUAUCAAGAACGAUUGAGAGAGAGAGAGAGGUACCGGCUGUUUCUCCAAUUCAGUUCUCUCCAAUUUAGACGAAUCAGAAACUACUCCAGCUCUGUUUUCACAAUCCAAAAGAAAGAAAGAAAAUCCAAUUCCAAACGACUCCGAUCGUCUUCUUCAGCUUACAAGGCAACAUUGUUCUGGAGAAAUUUGAGAGGAGGUGGCAUGAAGUAACAAACCAAGUGGGGGAACAUAUCACCUCGAGUACUAUUCUGUUUGUCUGCGUUGAUGCAAUUGCAUAAUUCACUACUCCUGAGCUGAACAUCGCUGACCAACCAAAAUGGUGGGAAAGAAGUGUUCCGAAGUGCUUUAGAUCAAGCUAGAGAUAGAUUAGGUGUUGUACAAUUCUAUGGAAAGCACUGUCUCUGGAUUUUGAGCAAUGGAAGAACUGUAUGCAGUAGUGAUUCUGUUUGGGAGGUCUUCAUUUUUUAUGCCAAAAGUUGUGAAUGCUUCUUUAAUGCUGAUCAACACAAUGAUAUGGCAAAGCCAUAGUAGACGUAAAGAAAAUGUUGGACCAAUUUCAUGAGUUGCCCAAUGCCAACAGCAUAAUUUUCAGAAACGCUAGAUGCAAGGUGCUUUUUAGUAUUAACUUUUUGAAGUUAUUCAAGAAACUGAUGUCGGCCUAUAUGGAGAAGUCAGCACUCAGCACUAGAUCUUCUACUGAAGCUUUCAUGUGGCUAAAGACCCAAGAAGCGCAGUGUAGAGAGAAGUUGUAGUAGCACUUGACUAAUCUUGAAGAAAUUUAAGGUUAAAUCUCAUUGUUUGCACAACAGACUAUUGCAAAGAAUAUGAGAUACAUUCAAAUGUUAAAGGUCUGAGAUGCAUUGCCUCCAAUCCCAGAGUUGGAAUAUCAGCUGCAGACUAUUUUUAAGUAGA